ensembl:lncRNA
ACACAGGGAAGGGAGUACUACACACUGGGGUCUAUUGUGGGGAAUAGGGGAGGGACAGCAGUGGGGGAGCUGGGGAGGGAUAGCCUGGGGAGAAAUGCCAAAUGUGGGUGAAGGGGAGGAAGGCAGCAGAAUACACUGCCAUGUGUGUACCUAUGCAACUAUCUUGCAUGUUCUGCAUAUGUACCCCAAAACCUAAAAUGCAAUUAAAAAAAAAAGAAAGAAAUCAUUCGUGCACGGUGCAGCAAAAUCGGGGAAAAAAUACAGUGAGAUUUUCAUACUCAAUUAUCAUAUGUAUUGUAAAUUAUACUUAUUUAUUCUAAGAUUAUAUCCUCACCUUUAUUACCAUAAAUACUCCUCUCUUUUAAUAGAUAAUUUUUCCCUUUUGUUACCCUUACUUGGUAAAAUACGAAGUUAGUCAUUCUGUAUUACUCUGUCACUUUAAAAAUUUUACUCAUCCUGGAAAUCCAAAAGUCUGGGAAUCACCACAACAAACUGGUGAAACCCUUCCUCUUCCCAGUCUGCCUUAACCUUAUCAUCAGAGGCUGCCUUUCCUCCAUCAAUAUGGAACCAAUCACCUCAAACACAUCCAGAGUUCUUAAAGUGCAAGCCCAAAACAACAAGGUUUCCCCUCAAAAAUAUAGGCGGUUCCCUUUGACUCUAACAUCAAUAUAUCAAGUUCAAACUUUUAUUCUGAGGACUGUCUUUUUAAUCCAGCUUUGAGAGUAUACUGGUUUCUGGUAGGUGCUAAGGUGAUAUCUACCAAAAUUAGACAAAAAUGACACAGUGACUCUCUACUGCUUUGUACUGCUAUCCUUGUAGGCAAGCCAAAGUCCCCUUUCUAGAAGAAUAUACAUUCAUGUACAUUCAAUAAUAGUAUUGUAAUUACCAGAUGGAGCUUUGCAAUGCUGCCAAACGUAUGGCCCACAGACUUAAUUGUAGAAUAAAUCCCUUGAUAGAAUCCAGCUAUUUAGUCAUUUUGGUUUAUGAUUAUAAACUUAUAAUUAAUUGUAUUCAAUACCAAAUGAACAACCCAACCAAGCUAGUUGAUCUACUAUUUAAUAACUCAAUAGGUUAUUUGUAUAUAGUUCUUGAUCACAUAUAAAAAUGAAAGUUAAGUGACACAUUGUUUACCCCUGAAAAUAUAAAAAAAGAAUUUGUGUUUUGAGGGUCAGUUCCUGCCCAGAGGAGACCCCUGAUGAGUAACCGUGGGACCACAAACCAUUCUCUAAGGAUUAGCACUUUGGGAGCCCUAUACAGUGGGUGAAUGAGUCAUGCCUGUAGACCAGAAUAUGGCCUUGCUAAAUUAUUUCUGGGUUUAUUUUCUUUUUUUAUUUCUGAGCUUUUAGGUAAGUUUGUUUACAUGUUCCCACUGUGCUGAGAGAAUUUAAAGAAGAGCCUUAAGUCUACAUCUGAAUUAAGAGUACUGAGAAAUGGCCGGGCCCGGUGGCUCAUGCCUGUAAUCCUAGCACUUUGGGAGGCCGAGGCAGGUGGAUCACAAGGUCAAGACAUCCAGGCCAACAUGGUGAAACCCCAUCUCUACUAAAAAACACAAAAGCUACCUGGGCGUGGCAGUGCCCGCCUGUAGUCCCAGCUACUCGAGAAGCUGAGGCAGAAGAAUUCCUUGAACCCCGGAGGCGAAGGUUGCAGUGAGCCGAGAUCGCACCACUGCACUCUAGCCUGGAGCCUGGCAACAGAGCAAGACUCUGUCUCCAAAAAAAAAAAAAAAAAAGAUAACUGAGAAAUAAUAAGUCCACCAUAUUUGAAUUAGAACUUAGAGAAGAGAAGGAACAGGGGCUUCUGUGUGGCAUAUGGUUAUUGGGAGGUCUCCCAAGGAAAUAAAUGUGCAUUUUGGGAACGGAAAGUUUACAGGCACAUCCACCUCUCUCCCAUUUGGAGAUUCUUUGCAUUGGCCAAUUUUAGAGAUUUGGAGUUUUAUUUUAUUAGAGAUAUCACAAGACGCUGUUAGAUGGUCAAUAAAGAUAAGGUCAGAAAACUGAUCUUUGAAAUUGGUACCAUGAAGGUUGUUGAUGGUUUUACGAAAGCAAUUUUUCUGAAAUGGCAGGAAUAGAAGCCAUUCUAGAAGUUAAAGAGUGAAUUCAGUAAGAAUGCAAAAGUAGUAUUUGCAACCCACUCUUGGGAAGCUGGGCUAUGAAAAGGUAAGGACAAUGGGGUAAUAGCAGGAGUUUCAGAGUCUAGGAAGUGUAAAGAUAAGAGAUAAUAAAGCAUCUAUGUAUUAUGGGAAAGAUAAUUUAGGAAGAUAAAAAUUGGCGAUGCAGGGGACAGUGAGAAUGAGCAACUGAGCAAAGACUAAGAAAGUAAGAAAAGUGAUAAGGGAUGAGAUCUGGAGUAUGUGUGCAGGUACAACAUUUGAAAGGGGAAGGGAUAUUUCCUUCAUUUUAAUAGUAAGAACUGGAUCACCAAUUUUGAUGAUGAAGAAAGUAACAAAGUUUCUGCCUUAUAGUUUCUAUGUUCAUAAUAACACUAGGUUAUUAGCUAAAAUGAGAGGAAAAGAAAUGAGAGUAAAACAAAUCUUAAAAUACUGAUUUUUAAAAUGUAAAAUUAUAGAGUCAUAUCCAGAUGCCAUUUGAGGUUUGAUGGUUUGGUUGAUUCCUCGGCUAUGAGGAAU